AGAGUUUGAUCAUGGCUCAGAACGAACGCUGGCGGCGUGCUUAACACAUGCAAGUCGCGUGCGCAGUUUCCCUGUAGCAAUACAGGGGGAUGGGCGCACGGCGCACGGGUGCGUAACACGUGGGCAAUCUGCCCUCUGAUGGGGAAUAACCCCGCGAAAGCGGGGCUAAUUCCGCAUAACAUUCCCUGGACGAUGGUUUGGGGAUUCAAAGCCGUAAGGCGUCAGAGGAGGAGCCCGCGCCCGAUUAGCUAGUUGGUGAGGUAAUGGCUCACCAAGGCAAUGAUCGGUAGCUGGUCUGAGAGGAUGAUCAGCCACACUGGAACUGAGACACGGUCCAGACUCCCACGGGAGGCAGCAGUGGGGAAUCUUGCACAAUGGGCGAAAGCCUGAUGCAGCGACGCCGCGUGGGGGAUGAAGCUUUUCGGAGUGUAAACCCCUUUCGACCGGGAAGAAUGCCUCGCAAGAGGAGUGACGGUACCGGUAUAAGAAGCCCCGGCUAACUACGUGCCAGCAGCCGCGGUAAGACGUAGGGGGCCAGCGUUGUUCGGAAUUACUGGGUGUAAAGGGUUCGUAGGCGGUGUGGCAAGUUGGGAGUGAAAUCUCUGGGCUUAACCCAGAGGCUGCUUCCAAAACUGCUGUGCUUGAGUGUGGGAGAGGCGCGUGGAAUUGCAGGUGUAGCGGUGAAAUGCGUAGAUAUCUGCAGGAACACCCGUGGCGAAAGCGGCGCGCUGGACCACAACUGACGCUGAGGAACGAAAGCUAGGGGAGCAAACAGGAUUAGAUACCCUGGUAG
rnacentral:rRNA from 1 species